rnacentral:rRNA from 1 species
UUAAGCGACUAAGCGUACACGGUGGAUGCCCUGGCAGUCAGAGGCGAUGAAGGACGUGCUAAUCUGCGAUAAGCGUCGGUAAGGUGAUAUGAACCGUUAUAACCGGCGAUUUCCGAAUGGGGAAACCCAGUGUGUUUCGACACACUAUCAUUAACUGAAUCCAUAGGUUAAUGAGGCGAACCGGGGGAACUGAAACAUCUAAGUACCCCGAGGAAAAGAAAUCAACCGAGAUUCCCCCAGUAGCGGCGAGCGAACGGGGAGCAGCCCAGAGCCUGAAUCAGUAUGUGUGUUAGUGGAAGCGUCUGGAAAGGCGCGCGAUACAGGGUGACAGCCCCGUACACAAAAAUGCACAUGCUGUGAGCUCGAUGAGUAGGGCGGGACACGUGGUAUCCUGUCUGAAUAUGGGGGGACCAUCCUCCAAGGCUAAAUACUCCUGACUGACCGAUAGUGAACCAGUACCGUGAGGGAAAGGCGAAAAGAACCCCGGCGAGGGGAGUGAAAAAGAACCUGAAACCGUGUACGUACAAGCAGUGGGAGCACAGAGCAAUCUGUGUGACUGCGUACCUUUUGUAUAAUGGGUCAGCGACUUAUAUUCUGUAGCAAGGUUAACCGAAUAGGGGAGCCGAAGGGAAACCGAGUCUUAACUGGGCGUUAAGUUGCAGGGUAUAGACCCGAAACCCGGUGAUCUAGCCAUGGGCAGGUUGAAGGUUGGGUAACACUAACUGGAGGACCGAACCGACUAAUGUUGAAAAAUUAGCGGAUGACUUGUGGCUGGGGGUGAAAGGCCAAUCAAACCGGGAGAUAGCUGGUUCUCCCCGAAAGCUAUUUAGGUAGCGCCUCGUGAAUUCAUCUCCGGGGGUAGAGCACUGUUUCGGCAAGGGGGUCAUCCCGACUUACCAACCCGAUGCAAACUGCGAAUACCGGAGAAUGUUAUCACGGGAGACACACGGCGGGUGCUAACGUCCGUCGUGAAGAGGGAAACAACCCAGACCGCCAGCUAAGGUCCCAAAGUCAUGGUUAAGUGGGAAACGAUGUGGGAAGGCCCAGACAGCCAGGAUGUUGGCUUAGAAGCAGCCAUCAUUUAAAGAAAGCGUAAUAGCUCACUGGUCGAGUCGGCCUGCGCGGAAGAUGUAACGGGGCUAAACCAUGCACCGAAGCUGCGGCAGCGACGCUGAUGCGUUGUUGGGUAGGGGAGCGUUCUGUAAGCCUGCGAAGGUGUGCUGUGAGGCAUGCUGGAGGUAUCAGAAGUGCGAAUGCUGACAUAAGUAACGAUAAAGCGGGUGAAAAGCCCGCUCGCCGGAAGACCAAGGGUUCCUGUCCAACGUUAAUCGGGGCAGGGUGAGUCGACCCCUAAGGCGAGGCCGAAAGGCGUAGUCGAUGGGAAACAGGUUAAUAUUCCUGUACUUGGUGUUACUGCGAAGGGGGGACGGAGAAGGCUAUGUUGGCCGGGCGACGGUUGUCCCGGUUUAAGCGUGUAGGCUGGUUUUCCAGGCAAAUCCGGAAAACUAAGGCUGAGGCGUGAUGACGAGGCACUACGGUGCUGAAGCAACAAAUGCCCUGCUUCCAGGAAAAGCCUCUAAGCAUCAGGUAACAUCAAAUCGUACCCCAAACCGACACAGGUGGUCAGGUAGAGAAUACCAAGGCGCUUGAGAGAACUCGGGUGAAGGAACUAGGCAAAAUGGUGCCGUAACUUCGGGAGAAGGCACGCUGAUAUGUAGGUGAAGUCCCUCGCGGAUGGAGCUGAAAUCAGUCGAAGAUACCAGCUGGCUGCAACUGUUUAUUAAAAACACAGCACUGUGCAAACACGAAAGUGGACGUAUACGGUGUGACGCCUGCCCGGUGCCGGAAGGUUAAUUGAUGGGGUCAGCGCAAGCGAAGCUCUUGAUCGAAGCCCCGGUAAACGGCGGCCGUAACUAUAACGGUCCUAAGGUAGCGAAAUUCCUUGUCGGGUAAGUUCCGACCUGCACGAAUGGCGUAAUGAUGGCCAGGCUGUCUCCACCCGAGACUCAGUGAAAUUGAACUCGCUGUGAAGAUGCAGUGUACCCGCGGCAAGACGGAAAGACCCCGUGAACCUUUACUAUAGCUUGACACUGAACAUUGAGCCUUGAUGUGUAGGAUAGGUGGGAGGCUUUGAAGUGUGGACGCCAGUCUGCAUGGAGCCGACCUUGAAAUACCACCCUUUAAUGUUUGAUGUUCUAACGUUGACCCGUAAUCCGGGUUGCGGACAGUGUCUGGUGGGUAGUUUGACUGGGGCGGUCUCCUCCUAAAGAGUAACGGAGGAGCACGAAGGUUGGCUAAUCCUGGUCGGACAUCAGGAGGUUAGUGCAAUGGCAUAAGCCAGCUUGACUGCGAGCGUGACGGCGCGAGCAGGUGCGAAAGCAGGUCAUAGUGAUCCGGUGGUUCUGAAUGGAAGGGCCAUCGCUCAACGGAUAAAAGGUACUCCGGGGAUAACAGGCUGAUACCGCCCAAGAGUUCAUAUCGACGGCGGUGUUUGGCACCUCGAUGUCGGCUCAUCACAUCCUGGGGCUGAAGUAGGUCCCAAGGGUAUGGCUGUUCGCCAUUUAAAGUGGUACGCGAGCUGGGUUUAGAACGUCGUGAGACAGUUCGGUCCCUAUCUGCCGUGGGCGCUGGAGAACUGAGGGGGGCUGCUCCUAGUACGAGAGGACCGGAGUGGACGCAUCACUGGUGUUCGGGUUGUCAUGCCAAUGGCACUGCCCGGUAGCUAAAUGCGGAAGAGAUAAGUGCUGAAAGCAUCUAAGCACGAAACUUGCCCCGAGAUGAGUUCUCCCUGACUCCUUGAGAGUCCUGAAGGAACGUUGAAGACGACGACGUUGAUAGGCCGGGUGUGUAAGCGCAGCGAUGCGUUGAGCUAACCGGUACUAAUGAACCGUGAGGCUUAACCUU